GAUGAACGCUGGCGGCGUGCUUAAUACAUGCAAGUCGAGCGAAAAGACCUGGUGUUUGUUCCUCUUACGUUAGCGGCGGAUGGGUGAGGAACACGUGGCUAAUCUAUCUACAAGACUGAACUAACUUCUGGACACCGGAGCUAGUACCGGAUAAUAUAUUGAACCGCAUGGUUCAAUAGUGAGAGAAGGACUUGCUGUUACUUAUAGAUGGUUCCGCGCCGCAUUAGCUAGUUGGUAAGGUAACGGCUUCCUAAGACAACGAUGGGUAGCCGACGUCGGAGGGUGAUCGUCCACAGUGGAACUGAGACACGGUCCAGACCCCGACGGGAGGCAGCAGUAGGGGAUCGGCCGAAAGGGGCGAAAGCCUGAGGGUGAAGCGCCGCGUGAGUGAUGAAGGUCUUGGGAUCGUAAAUCUCUGUUAUUAGGGAAGAACAAAUGUGUAAGUAGCUAUGCACGUCGUGACGGUACCUGAACAGGAAGCCACGGCUAACUACGUG
rnacentral:rRNA from 1 species